GUAGGUGGCAAGCGUUGUCCGGAAUUAUUGGGCGUAAAGCGCGCGCAGGCGGUUCUUUAAGUCUGAUGUGAAAGCCCACGGCUCAACCGUGGAGGGUCAUUGGAAACUGGAGAACUUGAGUACAGAAGAGGAAAGCGGAAUUCCACGUGUAGCGGUGAAAUGCGUAGAGAUGUGGAGGAACACCAGUGGCGAAGGCGGCUUUCUGGUCUGUAACUGACGCUGAGGCGCGAAAGCGUGGGGAGCAAACAGGGAUUAGAUACCCUGGUAGUCCACGCCGUAAACGAUGAGUGCUAAGUGUUAGGGGGCUUCCGCCCCCCUUAGUGCUGCAGCUAACGCAUUAAGCACUCCGCCCUGGGAGUACGGCCGCAAGGCUG
rnacentral:rRNA from 1 species